UUUUUGCGGUUGGCAAAAGCCCAACGGUUUUUGCCAACCGCCAAUAAAUUUCAACAAGUAGAAGAACUUUAAAGGUUCGGUGCAGACAUUGCGUCUCUGUCAGCGUGCGUCAUAAAAAAAAACCAGAGAUGAAAGCAAAUAGGAUCAGCCUGUGGAGAGCCAGAGGAGAGAUGUUUGUGCUUUUGGCAUUCAUAAAGAAGAAAGCAACAAAUGCAAAAGUGUAUAUAUCCUGUCUGAUUGAGGCAAUCAGUAACAACACGCGGAAUCAUCUCGAGAAGCUCUGCAGGUGUCGACAAACAAACUUUUCCUCCCUGGAGGGCUUGUCGUGUGCGUCUUUAAGCGAGCCAUGCAGGACUGGAAAUGCUGCAGUCGGGUAAAGCUCUGCCAAGAAGGAAGCCUUCCGAGGCCGGAUCCGUCUCCGGUUGACGCCGUCAUUACUUUAUUACUUGGACGACUUGUCUUCCGCUAUUGACCCGCUGUUUAAUGGCAUUUUUUAUCAUCACUUAAGCUGCACUUUAUUGCUCUUAUUGUCAAGGCUUCCAAUUAGUUGUCAGACAUUUUAUCGUUCAAGCUAAAACAUUAGCUGUCGGUCUGGAGAAUUCCCCUCCUCCCUUAAAUUCAGGAUUCAAUUUUGGGAGCCGUUAGCUUCUUCACUAGCCUUCAAAAAACGAACUGUGAUAGCUGCAAUGGUGAAACGUUUACUUGUCAAUAUAUACUAAGUCUUUCACAAAUCGUAGUAAUGUACAGUUAGUGACAGGUUGCUACAGUAAUAAAAUGCUGGGAAAUAGAUGGGGUUUGUUUUGAUAGCAUUGCUAGUAGCGGUUAGCCUAAUAGGGUACAGGUUAACAGGUGAUUCUAACCCUACAUGUCAACAACUUUGAGAAUUUAAAUGUAGGUAAAUAGAGUUUAUUAUAAACUCUUACUCCAAAUCACAUAAAAAUAAUCAAUAGUGAUAAAAAAAGAAUAAGAAGACAUAAAAAUGGAUAUAGAAGGUAUUUGUAGCGAAUACCACGUGAGCUUGCUAUAGUUGUACCAUCAUUUUUAUUCAAAUAUUCUGAACAGUACCCUUAUGUUUGACUUGAUAUAUGUAUGUAAUUUAAGGUUUUCUUUAGGAUUACUCAAAAUAAUGCUCAAGUUUAAACUGGAAAAGCUAAUUUGGUCAAUUUAACCCCCCUUUUUUUUAAAGUCAUAUUCUUAUUUCGUAUGUCCUGGCUGCAUUCUUACUGUUUCCAUUGAAAGGAAAUAUCCUGAAAUAAACACAGUGGUUUUUGUUUUAC